GGUUUGUAGCUCAAUGGUAGAGCAUUUGCCUCGCCACAUGCAUGAGGUCCUGGGUUCAGUCCCAGCACCA
rnacentral:tRNA from 1 species